UGAGUAACCUGCCCUGGACUUUGGGAUAACCCUCGGAAACGGGGGCUAAUACCGGAUAUGACGACUCACCGCAUGGUGUGGUUGUGGAAAGUUUUUCGGUUUGGGAUGGGCUCGCGGACUAUCAGCUUGUUGGUGGGGUGAUGGCCUACCAAGGCGACGACGGUUAGCCGGCCUGAGAGGGCGACCGGCCACACUGGGACUGAGACACGGCCCAGACUCCGUACGGGAGGCA
rnacentral:rRNA from 1 species